UCAGAGAGAGAGAGAGAGAGAGUUUGUAGAGAGAGAAGGGUCAAAUCGAGUGGCGAAAGGUUGGGUGUCUUCUUGAGUAUUUUUGUGGUGCUGGUGCUGGUGCUGGUUUUAGCCUAGGGGCUUUCAAACAAAAAACUAAGAAAGAAGAGAGAGAAAGAGAAAAGAGAGAGAAGAGAAAAUAAAAGAGAGAGAGAGAGAGGGAACCAAAAAGGAAAAAAAAACCUGAUAACUGAGAUAACAAUACUGGAGAGAGUUCCAAGCUCCGCUUCCCAGAAAAAAAAAUAAAAACUUGCUUCACUUUAUCUCUUCAUUUUUCCCUCUCUUACCCUCUGAUCUCCUGCAAUCUUUCCUCAUGGAUCCCUUUGAUUUGAUUCGUAAAGGGUUUGGUUGAGGCUGUCUGGAAAUUUUGUGUUACUGUUUUUAAGGUCCAUUUAUGUUUUAGCAAUUUCAUCCAUAUUCUUGUUAAUAAUGAGCUUAUUGAAGAAAGAAUCCCAAACAGACGCGAAACUCAGCAGCCCAAACAAAGCAACCGCUUUGAAUCCAAAUGCAGCAGAGUUUAUUCCUUUUGCCCUCAGAUCAUCACCAUCUGGAAGCACCAGCUCGGUGGAUGCAACAGCCAGGUUCACUGCUGCUGGAUCUCUUGGGAAAGCAGUUUUAGAUCAAUCAGAAUCAUCCAUUUCAAAUAAUUCCGAUGAUGAGGCCCACCAGUACUGGCGUUGUCAGCUUCCUGAUGAUAUCACCCCUGACUUCAAGGUCAUGGGAGAAGAUGAAUCCCAAGGUCUUAACAACCUCUCUUUAGCAGGCUUAUCAAUACAUGAUGAUAAUGAAUCCUCAAGGUUUGCUUCUUCUAAGGGAAGUAGAUAUAUAUUAAAUGAGCAGCCAGAAUUAUCUCAACAUCACCAUAAUGGCAAUGCUUUUGCUGAUAAAUCAAGGUUUUCUAAUUCAACCUACAGGGAGGAACCAUCUCCAGCAACCUUUUUAAGCCCAUCAGCAAAGCCUUGGGAUAGGCAAAUUGGGAAUACUGACUUGCAUAUUAGCAGUGGUCAUGAGGCACUUGCUUUUGAUGACCACUCUAGACAUGGAUUCUUAAAUGAUGUUUUGGCUGAGAAUGCUAUUGUCGAUGAUACUGAUUUGAAUCCUUUGGAGUUUUUAGUUUCUCUAUUCCCUGGUUUUGCUUCAGAAAGCCUUGCUGAAGUUUACUUUGCCAAUGGAUGCGAUUUACAUCUGACCAUUGAGAUGCUCACUCAAUUAGAGAUUCAAGUUGAUGGUAGUUUCAAUCAGAAUCUGAGUCCAAAGACUCUGUCAUCUCCCAAUCUGAAUGCAAUGGACUUUCCUGCACUUGCUUCCUCAAAUGGCGAGACCACUUCUGCAAAAUAUGCUGCAGAUAAUGUUCAACAAAAUGUUAAUCCAUACGUGUCAUCUGAGAAAGACAUGCUUAUGUUCAAAUCAAGCUCUUCUGUUCCAUCUAGAGGUGCUAUUGACUUUGCUUCAGCUGUCAGGAAAUUGGCUUCUCAGGAUUCUGGUAUAUGGAAGUAUGAUAGGAAUGGUUCUGGUGAUGCCUCCACAGGCUCAAGUAGGAGUUUAAAUGCUCUCGCUAAUGCCUACAAUGGUGGACAAGGGAGAGCCAACUUUGGUGAUAGAUUACAGAACCGUGGUUCUGCACGGGCAGCUCCUAUCUGGCUUGACACUGGUGACGCAGUUGCAAAUAUGUAUUCCGAGCUGCGUGAGGAGGCACGAGAUCAUGCACGCUUGCGUAAUGCAUAUUUUGAGCAGCUAACAUUUUUGUAACAUGAGUUUCAACUACCAAGCUUUUUCCCACUAGCUAGGCAAGAGGUAACAUGAGGACUUCCAAGGAGAUCACUUAUCCUAAUUUUUGUAACUUGAGUUUAAUCAUUCAUAAUAUAAAAACAGGCACGACAAGCCUACCUUAUUGGCAACAAAGCCCUUGCAAAGGAGCUAGGUGUUAAAGGGCAACUGCACAACAUGCAUAUGAAAGCAGCACAUGGAAAAGCUCAAGAAUCUAUUUACCGCCAGAGGAAUCCUGUUGCUCCAGAGAUGCAGGUUAAUGGAAGAGGACACGAGAGAAUGAUAGACCUACAUGGACUGCAUGUAAACGAAGCCAUUCACGUGCUGAAACACGAAUUGAGUGUGCUAAGGAGCACAGCGAGAGCUGCCGAGCAGCGAUUGCAGGUUUAUAUCUGCGUCGGCACUGGCCACCAUACCAGGGGCUCUCGCACGCCUGCAAGACUUCCAAUAGCUGUACAGCGUUAUCUACUCGAAGAAGAAGGCCUUGAUUUCACAGAACCGCAGCCGGGCCUGCUUCGCGUCGUGAUUUAUUGAACCAAGGAUAUGAGAAGGAGGUAUACAAGUUUUUGACACAGUAAAAAUCCAUGAACAUAUAGAACAUUGUAGUCAUUCUUGUAUCUGUAUAUGGGAAGUAAUGGCAUUGCCAGAAGAAAAAGGUAAAAAAAAUGGCUGAGGAAAAGAAAACAUGAAGAAGGUUAGAAGUACAAAGAGAAGGGUUGUAGCAGAAUUGUACCAUUAAGGUUUCACUCAGGCAACUGAUUACUUUAGUCAGCAGGAUCUCCAUGUCAGCAUUUUCCUUCUGUUAAUUUUGUACCCUAAUUUUCAUUUCUUUGUUUUUUGUUUUUUUUUAUUCGGAGAUGUAACUGAUAGAACUCAAUUACAAUUUACAUCAUAGAACGAUUCACUUUUUCAAUUUAGAUUCAAUGCCACACAAUCUACAGCUAGGAACAAAUAUUC